rnacentral:rRNA from 1 species
GACAGAGGGGGCAAGCGUUGCUCGGAAUUACUGGGCGUAAAGGGCGCGUAGGCGGGAUGGCAAGUCGGUCGUGAAAUCCCUCGGCUCAACCGAGGAACGUCGAUCGAUACUGCUGUUCUUGAGGAUUGCAGAGGAGACUGGAAUUCCCGGUGUAGCGGUGAAAUGUGUAGAGAUCGGGAGGAACACCGAUGGCGAAGGCAGCCUCCUGGGCCAGCACUGACGCUCAUGCACGAAAGCGUGGGGGAGCAAACAGG